ACAUGGUCUGGUCGAUUUCUAGAGAGUGUCAAAUUCAUGAGCGAUGCGAUGUGACAUCACAAUAAUACUAGAGAAAGCGCUAAACUAAUGAUGCAAGAACUUGGUCGAUGUUAUAUGGAGAUACACGAGCCGACAUAUAUUUUUAAAUGACAAGGACGCGCGUUAAUGCUUGAAUUGGUUUCGUUCUUAAAAAUAUAAUUGAUAAGUUUUGAACUGAUUGUAACAUAUAGCAAAUCGAUUGUUGAUUCGCAUUUAUACUGAAAUCGUAAAUCAUAGUGUUUGUUUAUUGUUUUGCUUAAUCUUCGUGAUUUUGCUUUAUUAUUCAUAACCCGGAAAAGAUUGAAUAAUUGGCUAAAAUGAGUUGCGGUAUAGUACCCUGGGCUUCUGUAUUAUGCGAAUUAAUGACUCCUGAUCCUUGUUACUCGAAGGCGUUAGAUAUGCAGCGAUGUUUAAAAGCAAAUCGAUAUCGGGAAGGAGUUUGCUUUAGUUCAAUGUCGGUGAUGGAGAAAUGUUGCAAUCGAUGGAAGGAUAGAUCUGCUUGUUGCGUGUUGUAUGAAAAAUCAAGGCCACCAAGUAAAGUACAAACUCAGGCACAACAUAAUGAUACAGAAAGAGAUCAUUUUAUACUAUCUGAACUUUUUAUUAGUCACUGAAACCAGCUCAAAUAUUAUCUUAAAUGUGAACUGUGAUAGCUUCACUGUUUCCCCACCAUUGAGCUUUGAGAAUUAUAUUUGUUCCUAAGUUAUCCGCAUCACUCAUUUAUAUAUUUAAGUAUGUUAUAUCAUUUGUUAAGGUAUACUUUUUGCAAUACUCAGUAUGCAGUGUUAAGUAUUUAAGUAGCGUAUUUUAUUUUGGUUUGUUUUUCUUUCGAAUGAUAGUUUUUUAGUUUUGUUUUCAAAAAUCAGUGGAUUAAUAAAGUUUCAUUUUAUCAUUUG